CAAAACAUAUACAUAUUCAGUGUAAUCUCAAAUCGGACAAAAAAGAACUUCGUAAUGUUUGUCCUCUAAUAAAAAUAGUUGCUGAUUAUACACUAGUUGAUUAAUCAGUCAAGUCAGUUGGUUCAGCGCUAAAUGGUUCCAAUUUGAUUUUUUAAAACGAUGUGUACAUAUAAGGAAACAUUAUGGCAGGGCUCAAGCGCUUUUUUAUGAAUUUUUGUAUGUAGUUAUAAAGGACAUCGCAACUUAAUUAACAUUUCUGUAAAUGUGCCAGUGUUGGCCAGCUGGCAAAUUUUUCACUGUAUUCCUUUGGUAAGAUGUUUUGAGACCAGAGCAAAAGCUUGAGCUGUGCUCUCCUAACAUUCCUUUUAGGUCCCUUAUCUGUAGUAAUAAGCACCUCUACGGUGCCUAUUGCUUUGACAGGUCUUCUUCUUUGAUGCUGAUGUUUUUUUUCCUAAUCCAAUAAUCAAUGUACUCAACAUCAACAUAAAUGUACAAUGUUGAUACUGUUGCAAAUCAGCAAGCAUGGCUUCCAGAGACUUAGCAUUAGCCAUAUUUGGUUGAACAUUGUCGACGUACUGUUUUACCCACUUGUUCUGGCUGUCCAGUGGGGCAUGUUGUGAAGCUCUAGCUUCUCAUUUGCAUUCAACACACAGGGAUUAGGCUACAGAAUAUUUAAUCAACUAAAACAAGCAAUGGACUUACUGUCAAAACUUUCAGGUAGAACUUGCGUUUUUAAAUGGAUGUGACUAGGCCUGAAACGACUCAUUAUCUGAUUCACUGGGCUUGUCAUUAUCUGAUUCACAGGGCGUGUCAUUAUCUGAUUCACAGGGUGUGUCCGACAGAAACAUGUUGGGUAGUAAAGUCUUAGGAUGAGCAGUCUUUGACGCACAUGCGCUGUGCUCAACACAGCCUUUCCAACAUGCUGCAUGGUUUUCUGUAGCAAUAUGCAGCAGGUUUCAGAGCUGACUUAUGAAAAUGGAUCUGACACCACUGAUUGGUUUGGCCAUAGGUGCUGAAAGAAAUGUUUGUUCCC